rnacentral:rRNA from 1 species
UACAGAGGGGGCUAGCGUUAUUCGGAAUUAUUGGGCGUAAAGGGCGCGUAGGCGGCCAUGCGUGUCUUCCGUGAAAUCCCUCGGCUUAACUGAGGACGUGCGGAAGAAACUGCAAGGCUCGAGUCCGGGAGAGGGGGGUGGAAUUCCCAGUGUAGCGGUGAAAUGCAUAGAUAUUGGGAGGAACACCGGUGGCGAAGGCGGCCCCCUGGACCGGUACUGACGCUGAGGCGCGAAAGCGUGGGUAGCAAACGGG